AUAUAUAAUAAAUAUUAACAUAUCAUAUAAUAUAUUCACAGAGGUGUUUUACUGUGUGAUGUGUGAUCUGAAGACUGAUAUUAAUAGUUACAACUGAACUUUAAGAACCUGUGCUCAGUUGGCUGAGAAAGUGAAUGUGCCAGACCAAGUCUGCCAACAAAGCUGUUGAAAUGUGAAUGCAUUGUUAUCCAAAAAAUCCCAACACUGUAGAAAGAAAACAUAGCUUCACCUCUCUACAUUUUCCCAACAAGCCUUUGAGGCUCAAAGGAACAAUAGGAGUGUGGUCCCUGUCAUUUACCGUGGAGGCAAAGCAUAGGUCCACAGCUUGGGAACACCAGGAAAUCUGGACACCAAGCGGGGAUCAUUUCAUGCCCCAGGGCUACAGCUCAACAGUCCCUAGAUACGUUAUGCACCCCUAAAACAGCCUCCUGCCCCAAGACACAGCUUACCUGUAUCCUGUGGUCUCCUCUCAGCUGCCCCCUGAAACCUGCAGUGGGGUGUCCCAGCUCCAAGCUUAGGUUUUCAGGGCCAGUGUCCAACAGCUCCCAGGAACCUCUUGCAGAGGUAGGUAGGUACUGAUCCCACCCCAUGAAGACAGUUCCCCAGGGCUCCUAGCUGUAGAUGGAGACCAAGAGGCUGCACACAAGGACCUUAAGGACAGAGUUUUUCCACCCUUUGUUAUAGCUACUGCUCUCCCAGUGGGAGACGACAGAGCCACUGGAUCCCAGCCAAACAUACAGAGCAGCCGCUCUGAUUUGGCCCAGUAGUUUCUGCUGCUCUCUGUGGCUCCAGUCUGCCUACAUCUCCGGCAUGGCUUCCUUGUUCUGAAUCAGAUAUCGCAAUCGGUCCUUUUAAGAGUCUUUGGCCUGUGGAGGUGUCUGGCCCCAGCAUGACCUAAUGCCUCCCCAACCCCACCGUGGCUGAGCCUCCCCUCCCACUCCCAGCCUCGAGGGAGAAGUUGGCUUUCUUUCAGGGAAUCCCAUAGAAACACGCCUGGCCUGCCUUCCAAGGGAGACAAACAAAAGAUGAACACAUUUCUUCUCUGCUUCUCCAUGUCAUAUGGCAUAAUAGCAAUGCAUAAAUACAUGCACCAUUGAGGAGAGAAAAAAAAGGAAGUUUCAAACAGUGAGAUUUGGGAGGGAAGGUGACAGUCCCCAGUGGUCUGAGGCUCCUCCUGCGAAGCACGCAAUUCUAGAAGGUUUUCCUGCCUGACUUAAAGUAAAUGCAAUUAUACCAUGCACAGUCAACGUGCCUUUGAGAAAAUCAUAUUUUUGCACGACUUCCACACCCAGGGUCAAGUGUCUAAUGCCUGCUUACAUACCUAGUGGGGAGGAGAAGCGUGCUCCUUGUUGUAAAAAAGAACGUAUUCUAUAAAAGCCACUUCCGAGAGAUGAGAGCUUUAAAGUGACUGAAGAGUAUAACCAACCAAAAGCCCUGGGACUCCCUGUUGUUUCUUGAGCUAGUGUGAGAAAUCCCAAGGGGCUGCUCUGUAAUGGCUCAAGACUCAGAGAUCUCAAGGUGGCUCCAUGGGGUAACCUGGAAACACACGUCCCUGCUUUCCUUGAUCAGAUAAGCCAGACGGCACGACAGCCAAACUCUCCAUGCAAACAGCCCCAAGAGUCUCUUCCAUGUUACCUGCAAACUUCUUCAGGAGAUGUGGUGGGGACCUCUUGAUUUCUUUGGUGUCUUUCAUGGUAGCAGCUGGCGGGGGAUACAGGGAUCAAAUAGGUCUGUGCACUGCCUCUCUGGUAGCCUCUAAGAAGGAACAAUGUUUUGGUUAAGCCACGAACUGGCUACCUCAGCUUCUUGUCUACGGCUCACAAGUAGCUGGAGGUCAGGGUGGACAGAAGGAAACCAGUCCCUGCUUAUUGUGACAUCAUUUUGAAGCUCAAGGGGGGCCAAGCACACUAAUGGGCUGGGGAAAUCUCCCCUGUGUAAGAACUUCUUUGAGAUGUAGAACAGAAACAAACAAGUCCAGGGCUUCCUAAGCAUGGCAGGAGACAGGUGAGAAGUCAGCACCCUCGUACUCUGGGACCUCAACCAUUCCCACUGUCAUCUGUUUCAACCGCCAUGGCUUCAACACCCUCCGAUCUAAAGGUCUUCAUCUUUCACUUUAUUUCUAUUUAAUACUUUUCGUUAUUAAUAAAAAUCGACUAUCUUGCUCCU
rnacentral:lncRNA from 1 species